UAUGAGUUCUUAUUUCUUGUGAGAUGACACCCUAGCUGUAUGGAUUAUACCUAUGUCACGUAGCAUGCCUGUGCACAAACACACAGGCACACACAUACACGCUCCUUGCUAAGAAAAAGAAAAGCAUGCUUGGUAUUUUAGGAAUAUGAUGUAAACCCGUUUUGUUACAUUUCAAAAAGAAAGCGUAAAACGCAGAAGGGAGCAGUUUCUUCCAUAAGCAUACAGACAAUUGAAACAGUAACAACUAUGGGAAGGUUGUUGCUGAAAAUUAAGAAAGGAUUGUCCACGUAUUAUAUGUGGAUAUGUACGCAGCUAAAUAUAUACGUGUAUGUAUACCUUAGAAUGUUAGCUUUAAUCAUAUUUGAGUGGAUUUCGGAUUUCAUUGUUUUCAGUAGGUGUCACUAAAGCUCCAAAAGAGCCUAGAUUUUCACUCUUCUGGCUAUUGUUUUCUGAAGUCUUGCAUCUUUACCAUCAAGGUUCAUGACGUCACUUUUGUGAAAGUGCACAAACUGCCUGCUCCAUCAGUUGAAAUGACUCCUGUACUCAGUGGAUUCAAAUUAUCCCUUUAUAUAUCUGCGCAAAGGCUAGACCUUCCUUUCCUCUUACUUCCUAAAAGUACAUGGUGAUUGUGGCCUGCUUGCAGUAUAUUCAGCACAUAAGAACCUCCUGGCUUUACUGGGCCCUCAUAAGACCCUACUGGAGCUUAACCACCUGCACUGGUGUGGAUGGGUUAUCAAGCCCUCCUUACUGGAGUCAUCGCUCAGAGGUGUCCUUGCAGACUUGACUGGAAGAAGCAUGUGCACAAGGAUUCCUACUACUGAGUAGUACCUUGCCCCACCGUGUUGCAGCUCUCCCAGAGAAAUACAGGUUCUUGAACACCCAGUGUUUAAGGCGUGCAGCACCAUAGGUGGUUAGGUACGUGACAUAUUAUUUCCAAAGGCCUGUUGUAGCAACUUGAAGACAUUUGAAAUCAUCAAUACAGAGG